AGUAAUGCUUGGGAAUCUGGCUUAUGGAGGGGGGUAACUACGGGAAACUGUAGCUAAUACCGCGUAGAAUCGGAAGAUGGAAGUGCGGGACCGCAAGGCCGCAUGCCAUGAGAUGAGCCCAAGUGGGAUUAGGUAGUUGGUGGGGUAAAGGCCUACCAAGCCUGCGAUCUCUAGCUGGUCUGAGAGGAUGGCCAGCCACACUGGAACUGAGACACGGUCCAG
rnacentral:rRNA from 1 species